rnacentral:rRNA from 1 species
AUUGAACGCUGGCGGCAGGCCUAACACAUGCAAGUCGAGCGGAUGAAGGGAGCUUGCUCCUGGAUUCAGCGGCGGACGGGUGAGUAAUGCCUAGGAAUCUGCCUGGUAGUGGGGGAUAACGCCCGGAAACGGGCGCUAAUACCGCAUACGUCCUGAGGGAGAAAGUGGGGGAUCUUCGGACCUCACGCUAUCAGAUGAGCCUAGGUCGGAUUAGCUAGUUGGUGGGGUAAAGGCCUACCAAGGCGACGAUCCGUAACUGGUCUGAGAGGAUGAUCAGUCACACUGGAACUGAGACACGGUCCAGACUCCUACGGGAGGCAGCAGUGGGGAAUAUUGGACAAAGGGCGAAAGCCUGAUCCAGCCAUGCCGCGUGUGUGAAGAAGGUCUUCGGAUUGUAAAGCACUUUAAGUUGGGAGGAAGGGCAGUAAGUUAAUACCUUGCUGUUUUGACGUUACCAACAGAAUAAGCACCGGCUAACUUCGUG